rnacentral:tRNA from 1 species
GCGGUCGUAGUGUAGUGGCCUAGCACAGCGCUCUGUGGCAGCGCUAGCGGGAGUUCGAAUCUCCUCGAUCGCC